AGCACUCUGGAGAGUCCCUGAAAAGGGCGCCGAAGGUGUACGGGAAACGGGUUAAAAGGUUUCCCAAUCUCUCAGGCAAAAGGACAGAGCAGU
rnacentral:ncRNA from 1 species